UCUCUCUCUCGUUCAGUUACUUCCUCAUCUGACGGUCCGUCGCAGCGGGGAGCUUUUCUUCUCCGCUUUGAAAACCUUUCACCUGAUUAACUUGUUUUAUGAACACUUUAACCUCAGUUUCUUCCCUUAUAUUUAUACUUUCAUAACUUUUUGCCGUAUGGGACGGAACGUAUUUUCUCCAUUCUACUAUGGAUGAGGAGAGAGAGGAGGGGGACUCUACCCCUAAGACCGCUCUGUCUGGGGAACUAGGCCGCCGGAGCAAAGCUAAGAGCCCAGAGCAGCAGCAGAGAGCAGACUCCCCUGGACCCAGCUGUGUCUCCAUGCAGAGUGACCGGUCUAUGGAUCAACCUUUGACCUUUAAAGAUGGAAAUCACCAACCUUCUAAGAAAAGCCCAGAGCAGCAGCAGAGAGCAGACUCUCCUGGACCCAGCUGUGUCUCCAUGAAGAGUGACCGGUCUAUGAGUCCACCUUUGAACUUUAAAGAUGGAAAACACCAACCUUCUGAGGAAAGGAGGCAGGAGAGAGCAGACUCCCCUGGACCCAGCUGUGUC